rnacentral:rRNA from 1 species
CCCUUAGAUGUCCUGGGCUGCACGCGCGCUACACUGAUGUGUCCAGUAAGCACCUAACCUCUUCCGAAAGGAACGGGUAACCUUUGCAAAGCACAUCGUGAUGGGGAUAGAUUAUUGCAAUUAUUAGUCUUGAACGAGGAAUUCCUAGUAAGCACAAGUCAUCAGCUUGUGUUGAUUACGUCCCUGCCCUUUGUACACACCGCCCGUCGCUCCUACCGAUUGAAUGCUCAGGUGAGCCAUUCGGACUUUCAUCAUGCUGGUUUCCAGUUUUGAUGAAGGAAAGUCUUGCGAACCUUAUCAUUUAGAGGAAGUAAAAGUCGUAACA